CUGGUUCCGAUCACAAGGGCUUUAGGAGGUGAGGAAAGUAUAGGCACAACAUGGACUUGGGUGGUUUGAGAAAGCUCCGCAGUGCUGAUGAAGCUUGGAGGUGGAGUGGACCAGCCUCCCACACCGAGGGCCACUGGGCCAGAGGUGCAGAGGAGAAGCACAGAAAGUGAGCUGGGGUGUCUGGCUGCCGCUGAGGGAGAAAAGGCUGAUCAAACCAGAUACACCACAAUUUGUUCAACCAUUUUCCUGCUGCCGUGCCUCAAGUUUUUUCCAGUUUUCACCAUUGCCCAGGGACGGCAGGAGAGGAGACAACUUCCCAUGCUGCAUUCCAGUCCUCCUCUCUGGGCUUAGUGGGAACAUCUCUGAGAAUGCUGGAGAGUGACUGCCAACUGCCUGUUGCACCACACACCUCCCUCAACAUCAUCAGCCCUGGAAGACACCGAGGUUCUGAGAAUGCCACGUCCAGAGAGCCAGGAUACAGGACUGACCUGCAACUACCACACAGUCCCAGCUGUAGCCCUGGCAUCAAAUACAGGUAAAUCCCACGGACAGACCAACG
rnacentral:lncRNA from 1 species